UUCCUUCGGGACACAUGCGCAGGUGGUGCAUGGUUGUCGUCAGCUCGUGUCGUGAGAUGUUGGGUUAAGUCCCGCAACGAGCGCAACCCCUGUUGUUAGUUGCCAUCAUUAAGUUGGGCACUCUAACGAGACUGCCGGUGACAAAUCGGAGGAAGGUGGGGACGACGUCAAAUCAUCAUGCCCCUUAUGUCCUGGGCUACACACGUACUACAAUGGCUGCUACAGAGGGAAGCGAAGGAGCAAUCCGGAGCAAAUCCCCAAAAACAGUCCCAGUUCUGAUUGUGGGCUGCAACUCGCCCACAUGAAGUCGGAAUUGCUAGUAAUGGCAGGUCAGCAUACUGCCGUGAAUAAAUUCCCCGG
rnacentral:rRNA from 1 species